rnacentral:rRNA from 1 species
GAUGAACGCUGGCGGCGUGCCUAAUACAUGCAAGUCGAGCGAACGGACGAGAAGCUUGCUUCUCUGAUGUUAGCGGCGGACGGGUGAGUAACACGUGGAUAACCUACCUAUAAGACUGGGAUAACUUCGGGAAACCGGAGCUAAUACCGGAUAAUAUUUUGAACCGCAUGGUUCAAAAGUGAAAGACGGUCUUGCUGUCACUUAUAGAUGGAUCCGCGCUGCAUUAGCUAGUUGGUAAGGUAACGGCUUACCAAGGCAACGAUGCAUAGCCGACCUGAGAGGGGUAUUGGCCACACCGGAAACUAGACACCGGCCAGGCUUCCACGGGAGGCAGCAGGAAGGAAUCCUCCGGAAAUGGCGAAAGGCUGACGGAGCAACGGCGCGGUAGUGAAUGAAGUUCUCGGAAUGUAAAACCUUGGUUAUAAGGAAGGACAUAUUGUAAGGUACUUGUCACAACUUGACGGUACCUAAUCAGAAAGCCACGGCUAACUACGUG